rnacentral:rRNA from 1 species
AGCAGCCGCCGCGGGAAUACGUAGGUGGCAAGCGUUGUCCGGAAUUAUUGGGCGUAAAGGGCUCGCAGGCGGUUUCUUAAGUCUGAUGUGAAAGCCCCCGGCUCAACCGGGGAGGGUCAUUGGAAACUGGGAAACUUGAGUGCAGAAGAGGAGAGUGGAAUUCCACGUGUAGCGGUGAGAUGCGUAGAGAUGUGGAGGAACACCAGUGGCGAAGGCGACUCUCUGGUCUGUAACUGACGCUGAGGAGCGAAAGCGUGGGGAGCGAACAGGAUUAGAUACCCCCGUAGUCCCUGUCUCUUAUAC